GACCUAUAGAAGACCUAGGGGCGACCCGCGCCGGCACCUUUUCCCUCGCGGUCCGCGCUCUUCCACCGGAGAGCUGAGUGCACCGGAGCGCGGCUCCCGGGCUUGACGCAGGCCUGGCCAGGGGGCCUCGGAGGAGCAGCAAAGGCCUGCAGCGCGAGCUAGGGGCGCGGGGUCCGGGGCAGCCCGGGGGCCAGCCUCUCAGAGGCUCACGGCCUGGCCACUUUUAAAAGGAGAAUGUCCCCUCCACCGUCCCUCUGUCCGCGGCAUCCGGUGGCCGGAGCAACCUUGACGUGAUGAUUUAUGCUUCUGCGUAAGAGCAAGUUGCUCCGUGGCCGAAACCCUUUCGCUCCUAGGAUCGAUCCUUUUUGUGGUUAUUGUUUUAAAAACAGUUUUAUUGAGAUGUAAUUUACGAAGCAUACAGUUCACCCAUCUAAAGUGCACAAUUCAGUGUCUUUUAGUGUGUUUGCAGAGUUGUCCAGCUGUCACCAUGUUUUAGAACAUUACCCCCCAAAAGAAGCACCUCCUUUAGCUGUCACUCCCCCCUCCCAUCUCCUCCCAUUCUCCCAGCCCUAGGCAACCACUAGUGCACUUCUGUCUCUGUACUUUUGCCUAUUCUGGAUGUUUCGUAUAAAAGGAAUCAUACAUUAAGUAGCUCCUUGUGACUGGGUUUGUUCACUUAGCGUAAUGUUUUCUGGGUUCACCUGCCAUAGGUUCUUGACUUCAGGACAGUUUCCUACUGGCUUAAGUUUCCUCCGGUAACUUGGGAAUCAACUGACAUCUAUGGAACUUCUGUUAUGGUUCAGGGACAGAGGGUCUCACGGAUGGCCCCGCUGCCAGGAGCAGAACUGGUUCAGAGGCCACUGCAGCUCUACCGAUACUUGCUGCGCUGUUGCCAGCGGCUGCCGACCAAGGGCAUCCAGGAGCAUUACAAACAUGCUGUCAGGCAGAGUUUUCGGGUUCAUUCAGAUGAAGACAACCCCGAGAGAAUCCAGCAGAUUAUUAAAAGAGCCAUUGAAGAUGCUGACUGGAUCAUGAACAAACCCCGUCAGCUUCCUUUUUCAUUAAAGAAGAAAGGGAGUCCAGGCAUGAACUAGCGAUUUGGCUGCUCAGUGCCUCCUGCCUGGGUUUCACCACCUCCAAGAAGCCCCUGCAGGAGGCAGUAUAAAAAACAAAACUGAGAGCUCCGAGGGUGAGCCUUCCUGGCCUCUGGAAGUUGAGAGGCCCGUCUUCUGGAGCUCAGCAGCAGCAGCUGGUUUGGAAGAUCCAUUGGCCUUGCUGGCUGAAAGCCAGAAAUCAGGGGCGAAGCUGACCUUGCUCCGGAGGCUCCUCUUGCCGCGGCCAUGUUGCCAGCAUCCUUUAUGUUUGCACUUCCAGCCACUUAUGAUGUGAAAUUUGGGGAGAAUAUGGUAUUUUUUUGUUUCUUUUGUGUGUUUUUUAUUUUUGUGUUUUUGUUCUUUUACUUUUCUCUGAAAGUGAUUCAUUUAUUCUGGAGAUCUCUUUAUCAUUCUCUGAGUCCCAGAGCAGAUGUCCCCUCAGGUAGCAACCUGUACAGAAGAAAGCACGUGGGUUUUAGAACCAGACAGAUCUGGAUUUGAAUCCCAGAUGCAGUAAGAUGAAGGUGAAGUGCCUCACACAAGAUGUGGCACAGGACAGUGCCUGAAGGGCUCCCUUCAAGGAAGCCGUCCUGCCCCGCCCCCUCCUCUGCUCCUGCAGCGCCCUGCACAGCUCUGCUCCCGCACGCACCAGGUCGGGUCUCAGUUAUUUGUUUGCGAGCUUGCCCUGUCCCUGCUUGUAGCCCCUGAGCCCUCACAGUUGUCACACACACAGCAGUCUGCCAAGGAGCUGCUUUUCCUGACUACUGUCCCUCCAUGCCUAGGGAAGUCAAAGCCCUAGGCCUUGCCUUCAGGGAGUUGACAGUGUCCUUGAAGUGGUGAAGUGCCCACCACAUGAAGCAAGGAGAGACGCCAGAGCAGCUGCCGUGGACUCUGGUCUGUCCAAGCCUCUGCGCACCUGCAAUCUCUUUCCACUGGCCCUUCCCUGCUUUGGCACCAUCGUGGAAGAAUGGAACGGAGAGGGAGAAGGUGGGUGUGCUCAGGGAGAACGGCCAGAGUGGCCAGAAGAUGCAGAGAGAAGCCCCACUGGGAUUUGAGUAUUCCCCAAGGGCACUCAGCCACAGGGAUGAACUAGUGUUUGUUUGUAUCCUUGCAGUUAUGUGACUUAAAGUGACUCAGAGAUAUCUAUGUGUGUGAGUGUACUCUGCUGGCAAUGAAGUAAAUAUAUAUCAAUUUGUGGAA